UUGUAGAAUAUAAAAUUAAAAGAUUCAAAUUCUGUCAGUUUGUCAUAAAUGUGCUUCGUGGGGUAAAAAUGCCAAGUCAGAAUAGUUACAUCGAGUUGUAGGGGGAAUUCCACUGUCUGCCAUUUCCAGACACUGAAAGUCUCACGCCACUUAGCAUCACGUGAUUUUUUUUUUUUUUUUUUUUUUUUGGACACACCCCUGCAAACGAAAUUUAUUCAAAUGUGACACAUUAAAUAGCCAUUUCAAACUAUUAUUUAUACUGAUAUUCAUGUCUUUGGCGAUGGCAAAUAUUCCACCAGCGGCACCAAAUGAUCGAAUAACUGCAGAAAAAUCCGGCGCGCAGCCCGAAAUGUGCCAGAUGUCGGAACCAUGGCUUCGUCGUCCAGUUAAAAGGCCAUUCGGGAAAAUGUCAGUUUAGGCAAUGCUUGUGCUGGAAGUGUUCUCUCAUCAACGAGAGGACGAAAAUCCUGGCAUCUCAAAGACGGAUCAAAUCCGUUCAGGGAAACGAGUCACCGAGUACCGAUCGUACCGAGCAGACUGCUCUAUCUGACAGAAAAACGGUCUCUACGGGUAAUAAUUCUUCCACUAACGGAGCAAACGGCGAAACCGACGUCAACGCAAGAAAGGAGAAUGCUAUUAAAGCGCCCCGUUAGUCGAGAUGUCACAGGCGAUAAAACGUACAUUGACCUCCGCGCACCUGAAGGCACGCGCGGUUCCGUUAGCUUGGGCGCGGUUUUUUGUGAUCAGAAGACACCGGCGGGACCGAGCGCUCCGAGCGGCGUUCAUGGAGACUCACCACCUUUUCCUGGAGAGUACAUAAUUACAGAGGCAAUCCCAGGGCAAAUCUAUCCUGCAGAGAUGUUCGCAAUCCCUCUUCCCUUGCAUCCGCAUUACCCGGACAGAUACAUGUUCCCGGCGGUGCUGGUGAGCCUGAGACCACCUGCACCAGGAGCCUUCAGGGAACAAGUUGGAUUUGUUCCCUUGCCACCAGGAGCGCUGUCUCAUCCACUGGAGACUCGGGAAUGGCAAAUCCAUGUUCCGCAGUAUAGUCCGUACCCCCAAUAUCCAGGGCUAAGAGAUGAACGUUUCCAGUGUCACGUGAAUGGAGAGCAAAGACGAUCUGAGGUUCCUCCUCAAGCUGCAAGUGUCUCAGAAAGUCAAGUUUGUGGUAACCAGGAAACCGAUGUUGUACCUGUCGAAAGUCUUUCCUCAAGGAACACACCCUGAAAAGAUUAAAAACCUCCAGUUUUUCUUGACUGAUACCACAUAAUUUGUAUAAAAGACAUUCAAUAUUUCCUUUUCAAAUAGUUCUCAUAUUUUUUCCCCCCAAUAGCAGUUACGCUGCAUGUUCCUUACUGUGACUAUGCUGUAUUUCUGAUUUUCAGAAGACACAGCUGAAACCAAUGCUGUCUUUGUUCCAGUAAAGACAACAGUUUGACAUUUGUUCUUACACUACAACCAAUUAUGGUAUCAGUCUUCAUUUUUUUGUUGCACAGUUUUUAAAUUUGACAGCUCUAAUUCCAACUGAUUAGAUUGGAAAGUUGAAUGUUAAAAGCAGUUAUGCUUGAUAUUUUUUUUCUUCUGGCCUGUUGUUAGGCUUUUUGAGACAGUAGUGUUGUUCAUGAUGUUUUUUUCCUAAAUCUGGAAGUGUGUUUAAUGAAUAAACUCUUCCAUUCUUAA